rnacentral:rRNA from 1 species
AGAGUUUGAUCCUGGCUCAGGACGAACGCUGGCGGCGCGCCUAACACAUGCAAGUCGAACGAGCGAGAGAGAGCUUGCUUUCUCGAGCGAGUGGCGAACGGGUGAGUAACGCGUGUGGAACCUGCCUCAAAGAGGGGGACAACAGUUGGAAACGACUGCUAAUACCGCAUAAGCCCACAGCUCGGCAUCGAGCAGAGGGAAAAGGAGCAAUCCGCUUUGAGAUGGCCUCGCGUCCGAUUAGCUGGUUGGUGAGGUAACGGCCCACCAAGGCGACGAUCGGUAGCCGGACUGAGAGGUUGAACGGCCACAUUGGGACUGAGACACGGCCCAGACUCCUACGGGAGGCAGCAGUGGGGAAUAUUGCACAAUGGGGGAAACCCUGAUGCAGCGACGCCGCGUGGAGGAAGAAGGUCUUCGGAUUGUAAACUCCUGUUGUUGAGGAAGAUAAUGACGGUACUCAACAAGGAAGUGACGGCUAACUACGUGCCAGCAGCCGCGGUAAAACGUAGGUCACAAGCGUUGUCCGGAAUUACUGGGUGUAAAGGGAGCGCAGGCGGGAAGGCAAGUUGGAAGUGAAAUCCAUGGGCUCAACCCAUGAACUGCUUUCAAAACUGUUUUUCUUGAGUAGUGCAGAGGUANGCGGAAUUCCCGGUGUAGCGGUGGAAUGCGUAGAUAUCGGGAGGAACACCAGUGGCGAAGGCGGCCUACUGGGCACCAACUGACGCUGAGGCUCGAGAGUGUGGGUAGCAAACAGGAUUAGAUACCCUGGUAGUCCACACUGUAAACGAUGAUUACUAGGUGUUGGAGGAUUGACCCCUUCAGUGCCGCAGUUAACACAAUAAGUAAUCCACCCGGGGAGUACGACCGCAAGGUUGAAACUCAAAGGAAUUGACGGGGGCCCGCACAAGCAGUGGAGUAUGUGGUUUAAUUCGACGCAACGCGAAGAACCUUACCAAGUCUUGACAUCCUGCGACGCACAUAGAAAUAUGUGUUUCCUUCGGGACGCAGAGACAGGUGGUGCAUGGUUGUCGUCAGCUCGUGUCGUGAGAUGUUGGGUUAAGUCCCGCAACGAGCGCAACCCUUAUGGUCAGUUACUACGCAAGAGGACUCUGGCCAGACUGCCGUUGACAAAACGGGGGAAGGUGGGGAUGACGUCAAAUCAUCAUGCCCUUUAUGACUUGGGCUACACACGUACUACAAUGGCGUUAAACAAAGAGAAGCAAGACCGCGAGGUGGAGCAAAACUCAGAAACAACGUCCCAGUUCGGACUGCAGGCUGCAACUCGCCUGCACGAAGUCGGAAUUGCUAGUAAUCGCAGAUCAGCAUGCUGCGGUGAAUACGUUCCNCGGGCCCUUGUACACACCGCCCGUC